AGGCAAUAGGGUGUGUGACCCAGCUGAGAUUCAGGGGCAAGGAUUAUAUCGCAAUGUUUAUCGGUCUCUUGGGCAGUGAGCAAGAAUGGCUGAGGCUUCUGUCUUUGUUCCAUCACAUAAAAAGCUUGGGAUCAGGGAGGAAGGCGGCAUGAAAAAGGCAUCUGUGUGGAAAUUUCUGAAGUGGAUCCUCCCAAGACAGAGCUGCACUGGCCAAUCCCUGCUUCGUGCGUCAUUGGGCUGCACCGAACCAAGGGAACGAAUGAGGUUUGUUAGUGCCGGGCAACCCCAUGACAAGGAAAAGAAGGCAGCGAGCUCAGAGCGAAGCGGUGCUACGUGAAUCAUUGACAUCUCAAACAAACUUGAGUUCUGUGCCCACUCUCUUUAACGCCACCCCUUGUCUCGGCAGAGCAGCACUGCCCGGGCCCCGUUACCUCCUCCCUCGCCUUCUACAUCAUCUUGGGGUGCAGAGGCUGCUGUCCGGGCUGCUUUGGGAGCCACAGCGACUACACGUCAGUGUUUAUGGGUUCAGGGUAGACAGAACAGCCAGUUGGAAACAGCAGCAGGAAAGUCCCUUGGCUGAAAAAUAUACCCCCCACUGGCCUGUGGUAAAUGCCUGAGAUUCCACCAUUAGCAAUGCAUUCCUUUGGCUAUGUCACACCAUUCUGGGGCCACAAUUUUAAAGUGAAAAUGCCCCUCUGGGGAGUCACGUGUGAAGGCCCUGACAUUUUGGACAAAUGAAUGUUUCAGAUGGUUUCUGGGAGAAGAGGUGAGCGCUGGCUGCCUCACUGGUGGCAGUGUGGCUGCGGUUGGGAGAGGAGCAUGGAACGGGUGGGGGCCUGGAGGGCUGUGGGAAAAUUUGGACAGCUGAGUCAUCGCGAUGCUUUGAAAGCCUGGCGUUGAAGGUUUGACCCCGCCCCCCCAUUCCAACAAGAGGUGCGAAGUGCAGCCCAUCUGAGACCACCUGCCCGCCAUCCCCAGUAAGUAAGUAAAGCUUCCAGAACAAUCCAUCCACCCACCUGCUACCACGGACAGACCUGCCUCUAGGCCCCGCCCACUGCCUGAUUCCCAAAUUGUGAAGUGUAGCAAAAAGGUGCAAAAAUAGCUAACUGUUCCAGGCGCUUCUGGGAACUGGGGGUGGGGGCGAGCUGGGGCUGGAGUCCUGGGCAGCAAGAGGCUGCUUUACCAGGAAGCGAAUCCCUGGAGGCCCAGGAGAGCAGGGCGUGCCUGCACGUGAGCCUGUGUCACCUGUGUGCCAGCCCGCAGAGCCCCCUGCACGCCCAGGGCUGCCGGGGGACGCGGGAGGGACUCCACCUGCUCUUGCUUUCCUGGAGAGGGCGCUGAGCUUCCGGCCACAAGGCGACUGGCCUCUCACAGCCACAGGGCUGGCUCUUGGACCCGUACAGAAGCCGGGGGCCGCGGUGGGGUGGGGAUGUACAGAAAGCAUGGGUGGGAGUUCAAAAGCCAGGAAGGCCUGGUUUCAAAACUGUGUCCCCGAAAGGAAGAGGGGUGGGAGGGCAGGUACAGUGGGAAGAAUUACUGUGCUCCUAAUGUUGUAUUUAUGAGAUACACCCAAAUACAUACAUGCAUACAUACAUACAUACAAACAUACGUAAACUGUGUCCACAGUCCCCAGGGUGCUUCCCCUGUCUCAGGCCCAAUGCAGGGGGUGAGCAGCGCAAGGCAGCUGGGCCACUCACUGGCUGAGCCCCACCUAGAGGCCUGUCACAAGGUAAUUUUUUUUUUUAAUUUAUUUGAAAGGCAGAGUUACAGAGAGGCAGAGAGAGAGAGGGAGAGAGAGAGAGAGAGGUCUUCCAUUCGCUGGUUCACUCCUUAGAUGACCACAAUGGCCGGAACUGCGUUGAUCUGGAGCCAGGAGCCAGGAGCUUCUUCCAGGUCUCCCACGCAGGUGCAGGGGCCCAAGGACUUGGGCCAUCUACUGCUUUUCCAGGCCACAACAGAGAGCUGUAUGGGAAGUGGAGCAGUUGGGACUCGAACUAGCGUCCUUAUGGGAUGCUGGCACUGCAGGCGGCGGCUCCACCGUUACGCCACAGCACUGGCUCCGUCAGGCAAUCUUUUCACUCACAGCUGAGCAAGUUCUGUUAGCACAUCGCUGUCGUUGUGGACAAGCAGAGAGAGAGGAGCUGGGAGUUUGAGAACACCACGGACAGAGACUUUGCAGCCCCACAGCAGGUACCUGCCGCACAGGUGCACCCCACAUCCCCCCUUCCCUUGCUCCCCCCAACCCUUCCUUUCAAUUCUCACCAAGUUUGGGCACCUGCAGAAGUAGUCCCUGAGAACAAAAUUGGAGCAAUUUGGGAGGAGAUACAGUGGAGUGGAGGAGGGGAGAAGGGGAAGGAUGAGGAGCUGGGAGCACUCAGGGGACACCCGGCUGCAGAAUCACCCUUUCAGCUCUGCCUCUUUCCCUCUGUGCAUCUCAUGACCUCGGGGCCUGCAGUCCUGUCCCCUGCCACGUGGUGUAAACCAUCCCUGGCCCUGUGCUCAGAGCAGCUGGCCCAGGGCCACCACUGCCCCGCCCCCCACCUUCGGCAGGCUGAAGACCUCCCCCAGCCGUGCCAAGCCUCCAUGUCUGGGCGAAGCUGAGCCCAGCUGGCACCGCAGUGGCCAAGCCUUGACGCAGAGCGUGAGGUUUGUUUGCAUUUUCUGUUUCUCGCGGCUCGGGCUCUCUGAGGAGCAGGAGGCGCUGGGGAAGCUGUCAUUUGCUAAACAAGCGUUCAUCUUCACGUCAAUCCCGAGAGGCAGGUGGAGCUGUCGCGUCAGAGUACGCGCUGUUGUGAGGCGCCAAGGCUGGCAGGGCACCACGCGGGAUUUGCACCGUCUCUCCAGGCACAGCUUCCAGCCAUUGACCGCCUGUCCGCUGCUGCCCUGUGCGCUCUGUCUGUCCCCAGCCUCCUCUCUCAGACAGGAUCUCAAAAAAGUGGCAUUGCCUCGGGAGGAAGGCGAACCCGGGCUUGGCUCUGUCACUUCCCUCCAUUCAACAAGUAUUAAUGAGUCUCCCUUACGCCCUUAGCACUGUUAGGGUCUGGGGAUAUAGUGAUAGAUACUGGGGUCUUGUGAACAGACAGCAAUGCCCGAAAGCUGGCGCUCUAGACGUCCCUUACUGCAGAAAGGGCUGUGUUGCUGGAUGAAGCUUGCAAUCUGUCACCACAGCCGUCUCGCUGACACUGACACCGGCCCCAGCAUUCGUCUCCCGCACGCGGCUACAGGCACAGCUGAAGACCAUCGGGCUUCUGGGAGGUGCUUCUGCUGGCUGGGCUGCCUCCCAGAGGGGGCCCCAGAAGAGACUGAGUUCCCUCGCCCCAGGCCUGGACUCUUUGCCCCAACUCGACAAUCAGAUUCGUCACUCUCUUUGUCUCCGGGGAGUGUGUGAGACGGGACCUCCACGGGGCAAAACGUGACUGAGCAAGUUCCCGCGGGGGGCACCUGCAGCUCUGUCCUGCUGCGGACGCCGGGAGGUGGUGAGGACCUCACACCUAAGAGUUAUCCUGUGGUGGGGGGCAGGGCAUUGGGGCACAGCGGGUUGCACUGAAGCCUGGGGCGCCAGCAUCUUUUAUGAGUGCUGGUUCGUUUCCGGCUGCCUCUUAAUACACCUGGGAAAGCAGUGCAAGAUGGCGAGAUGACUCACUCUUUGGGCUCCCGCCCCCUGUGUGGGAGAUUCGGAAGCAGUAACUGGCUCCUGGCUCCUGGCUCCUGGCUCCUGGCUCCUGGCUCCUGGCUCCUGGCUCCUGGUCUGGGCUAGCCCUGGCUGUUGCAGCCACGUGGGGAGUGAACUAGCAGAUGGAAAGAUGUCCUCUCUCUCUCUCUCUCUCUCUCUCUCUCUCUAAUUCUGCCUUUCUAAUAAAUAAAUCUUAAAGAAAAAAAGUUAUCCCAGCAGAGGGCCGCAGGAGCCCCAAGUCACUCAGCCCCUGGUGGGAACAGUCAGCUAUACCAGCCUAACCCAGGGCCGCCCAACAGCCUCGGGAGGCUGGAGAAAACCCCAGAGGCUGGCAUACAGCAGGCGCUCAGAAAAGGCUACUUCUGGUCAUCGUCGGCGCUGUAGGCAGCUCCGGGUAAGCCCAGCAGGUGGCGGUUGACCUGUGCCUCACCCUGACGCUUGAGGCGCACGGGCUGGAAGGAGGUGAUGUGAAUGACCGCGGAGAUGCUGACCCCGGGGCUCCCCACCUGCAACCUGGCGAAGACGAGGCUGGGCCGGGGAGCCAAGGAAGGAGCCUCUGCUCGGGACUUGAGGGGGAGCUAGACCCUGAGUGAAUCUCGCGGAGCCUCACUCCAGGUGGCACCUUUAGUUCCUAAGCCCCGGGGGGUUUCUGGCUGUGGGCCCCAAAUAACACCUUCCCUUGACACUACACACGUCAUAGCCUAGAUGGGCACACACAGGGCACCCCUGAGUAUCCACAAGUACAGGCAAACAUACACCCGCACACACAUCACUCUCUGACACACUCACACACGUGCACCUGCACCCACACAUGGUACAGGCAGUCCCCGACCCGCGACAGCUCCACUUAGGAUCUUUUCACUUUAUGCCGCCGUGAAAACAACACGCGUUUAAUUGAAACCAUACUUUGAAUGUUAACUUUGGCUCUUGUCCGGGCUGGCGUUGGACCAUCAGAUCUUGCCUGGCAAUGCUGGGCAAUGGCAGCGAGUGCAGGUGCCAGGAAGCCCUGACGUCACCAGGGGAGACCACCCACACUCCACAAUAUGCUGCGCUGCUGAGCUGGGACAGGUCCUGGGUUAAGGGAGUCCAUGUAUUCUCCGCUAUGAUGGUCUCAACUUCCGAUGGGUUUAUCUCCCAUUUACACACGGGUUCGUGCAUAGGCAAGCACACGGGCACACAUGCAUCGCCACACAUAGACUCUUCUGCUGGCCACUAGAUCCAACCAGGCAGGUAGGGUCUGAAAGGGCCUCUGUGAGCGUCCACUUCUCCCAUGGAGCCCCUGCUGGCUUCUGCCAUUUGUCCCCACAAAGGCUCAGCUCAGGAUCCAUCCAAAAUGACAAUCUUUCCCCUGAAACAUGACUGGGAUGCCCAGCAGCUGGUUGGGGGGUCCUUUCCCGUGGUGCAGGCCCCCCCCCAUUUUGAAGGAAAGGUAAGAAGGGUGCUCAGGGCCAGGCAGGGCUGUGUUACCAGCCAGGCCCACCCUGCUUGGGGGACACUAAGAGGCAGAUCGGGCCAGGAGUCCUGCCCCUUUUCUGCUACCAGACCAUGGUUGUGGCCUCAGUACAGGCAGACAAGCCCAGGCCUCAUCCAACAGACACUCCAGCGUUGCUCAGAAAGGACUCAUGGAUGGGGCCAGCGCUGUGGCAUAGCAGGUAAAGCCGCCACCUGCAGUGUCUGCAUCCCAUGUGGGCGCCGGUUCGAGUCUGGGCUGCUCCACUUCUGAUUCAGCUCUCUGCUGUGGCCUGGGAAAGCAGUAGAGGAUGGCCCAAGUGCUUGGGCCCCUGCACCCAUGUGGGAGACCGGGAAGAAGCUUCUGCCCCCUGGUGCAGCUCUGGCAAUGCGGCCAUCUGGGGAGUGAACCAGCAGAUGGAAGACCCCCCCCCCCAGCCUCUCUGUAA